UCUUGAUGGCUCAGCUGGUAAAGAAUCUGCCUGUAAUGCAGGAGACCUGGGUUCGAUCCCUGGGUCAGGAA
rnacentral:tRNA from 1 species